rnacentral:rRNA from 1 species
AGCAGCCGCGGUAAUUCCAGCUCCAAUAGCGUAUAUUAAAGUUGCUGCAGUUAAAAAGCUCGUAGUUGAAUUUCGGGACUAAUAUGUCGGUCGUGCCUCGGUACGUACUGGUUUAUUGGUUUCCUCCUUUCUGAAGAACCAUGAUGUCAUUUAUUUGGUGUCAUGGGGAAUCAGGACUGUUACUUUGAAAAAAUUAGAGUGUUUAAAGCAGGCUCACGCUUGAAUACAUUAGCAUGGAAUAAUGAAAUAGGACGUUUGAUUCUAUUUUGUUGGUUUCUAGGAUCGACGUAAUGAUUAAUAGGGAUAGUUGGGGGCAUUAGUAUUCAAUUGUCAGAGGUGAAAUUCUUGGAUUUAUUGAAGACUAACUACUGCGAAAGCAUUUGCCAAGGAUGUUUUCAUUAAUCAAGAACGAAAGUUAGGGGAUCGAAGACGAUCAGAUACCGUCGUAGUCUUAACCAUAAACUAUGCCGACUAGGGAUCGGAUGAUGUUAAUUUUUUAAUGACUCAUUCGGCGCCUUAC